rnacentral:rRNA from 1 species
GCGUGAUAAUUCGCCCUUUAAUUGUGGGCUUGAACGAAUGAAUUAACGAAGGUCUAGCUGUCUCUGGUAUACUUUAUAGAAAUUAAUUUUUAAGUGAAAAAACUUAAAUACUAAUGUAGGACAAAAAGACCCUAUAGAGCUUCGUUAAAUUUAUGUAAAGUAUAAAAUUAUUGAUUCUAUAUUUUUAAUUUGUAUAAUAUAACUUAACUGGGGCGGUUGAUGAAAAUAAUAAUCUUCUUUUAAAAAUAAAAGUUAAACAUACUUUUUUAUUAGUUGAUCCUAAUAAGAUUUAAGGAAAAGCUACCUUGGGGGUAACGACUAAUUUUUUUUGAGAGUUCUUAUUGACAAAAAAGUUUGGGACAUCGAUGUUGGCUUAGAAUAUCCUGAAGAUAGUAGCAGUCUUUAAUGGUGGGUUUGUUCAACCUUUAAAAUUCU